rnacentral:lncRNA from 1 species
CCUGCGGAGUUGGCGGAGGCUCCUCCAGGGACUGGGGCACAGAUCUGCGUAGAAACGGGUGGCGGGGAAGAGAGGGGAGGAGAGCUCUGAGUGGGAAGCGGAGCCGGGGGCCUGGGACCCGUCGCGUCAGAGCCAGGCAAGUGAACCGGAGCAAACGACUUCCGAUCCAGUCUGCGCUGUUGCGGCUCCCGUUUGGGAUUUGAUUUGCAGCAUCUUUGAGCCUCUACGACAAAAAACCGCGAAGCACGCCCAGCCCUCCCCCGGCACCCCGAAAAGCACCCACUCCCUCCCGGGGACACAGCUGGGCGCGUCCACACCCCCGCAGCCCCACACCAUGUUGUGCGGAAGGACUUCCACUCCCCGCCUGUGUCGUUGAUGUCAGACCCCAGGCCAGCCUCCGGGCGCUGCAGUUCUCCCGGCUAAUGCUGAGGCUGCGGCUCCGGCUCUAGCACAGGCACCAGCCGCCGCCGCACCCGGCCUCAGCGCCCACCGUCUGCAUGUGCCCGCCGUAGCCGUCUGCCCAGCCCGCAGCCCGCGCUCCACGGAGCGCUGGAGACCACCGUGGGGGGCCCCUUCUGCCCUCGAGAGAAGCGGUCUUGGAGGUAUUGAUUUAGGUGGUUGGAUUUUUUCCGUGGAUCUAUCAAUUCACAAUUCGAAUUUGGAAGAAAGAAGGAAAACAUGACGUCUCCAGCCAAAUUCAAAAAGGAUAAGGAGAUCAUAGCAGAGUACGAUACUCAGGUCAAAG